UCCAUUUGUGGCAGAUCACUGUAAGACUAUUGCACAAAUAUCCUGCCUCUUUUGGCAUGAGUUCCAAAGGCUGCUCAGCGAAGUUCAGUAGAACAAACUUUUUUUUUCUCUCUCUCGUUCUGCCGAAGAAGCAAGACAAAAAAAAAUCCUGCAAGCUUUUUUCCCCACGUUUCUUUCAUUUUUUUUUUUUUCUUUACUAAAUUCCGUUUCUCUCCCUCCAUGUUUUGCCAUCGAGGAGUUAAAGCAAAUUCCUAACAGCUCAUCUAACAUUGAAGUGAGAUCCACAGCGGGAAAGCUGAAUCAAAAUCAAGGACAAAUGAACUCUAGAAAACAUUUUCUUGAAGCAAACAAUCUUCUGCAGAGAGUUUAAGAAACCUUUUCUACAAGGAAAUAUAAUAAUAUAUAAUGUUCAAAGUUAUUGGGCGCUUGGGGGAUCCCCAUUAUUCAUUCUGUUGCUUAACCCUUGUACUGCUGGAUUGCCAUACCGUUACUGAACGCUGCCUGACUGACGAUUCUAUUGGUUUACCCCUGAACUGCUAUACUGCUGGAUUUCCAUUGUUGCCAACUCCUGCUUGUUCCUGACCAUUCUAUUGGUUUACCCCUGAACUGCUAUACUUCUGGAUUUCCUUUGUUGCUGACUCCUGCCUGUUCCUGACCAUUCUAUUGCUUUACCCCUGAACUGUUAAUCUGCUGGAUUGCCUUCCUGUUACCGGAUCCUGCCUGUCUUUACCAUUCACUGCCUUCAUCGUAUUGCCUUGAAGGACUGCCCUGUCUGCGGGAUUGGACCUACUAACAGAACACAUUUUCCAGACAACUAUAUGAAAGCACAGGUUGGUUUUUCCAUACCAACUGAAUCAUUAUUUUCCCAUUUAGCUGUGAAUAUUGGGCUGUUAGAUGUUUUUGAAGAAUUGAGGUAAGAAAAGGUUAGAGUACACUGUAUGCAUCCUUGAACAGUAGAGUCUGUAAGAAGCGCUUGAAACUUUGAAAACUUUGUUGAGCAAUGCAAAGCAUUCCUUAAGAAUGGGGCCAUUUCAGAGAAGUCCUGUAAAAUGACAUAAGGGCAACAGAGUUAUCGAGGGCCCUUAAUAUAUAUGUGCAGGAUUCUAUGUUUUAUUAUGGUGAAGAGAAGAAACCAGUGAAGGGAUUGGCAGGUAAGGAACGACAUGUACGGAAGGACAGUGUGGCAGAGGCAUUUAUUAUGAAUUGUAAAGGAGACAGAUGGCAGCUAGAGAUAAGAAAGGCUGGAAUUGCAAUAGUCAAGGAGAGAUAUAACGAGAAAGUGGAUUAAAAUCUUAGUUGUGUGAGGAAGUGUCAAAUAUCAGAGAUGUUUUUAAGGUGGAAAUGGCAGAAAUUGUCCAUAUAUAUUGACUAUAUGUAAAAACUGAAUGAAAGAUAUGAGUCAAGUGGUGAAAUAAUGUUAUUAUCAAUAUUUAUUGAAAGGGUCAAAAUUUUGGGGGUAAUAAAUGUGGUGACGACAGGGUUAGUGUAACUGCAAGGGAGCUGAAUAGGGGUAGGUGAUUCAAACCCCUCAAUCUGAGAUCCCUUAACAGCUACAAACUAUCAAUGCCCCUCAUUUUGAAAGAGAAUUGUCUGCUCUUUCAAAUGGUAUUGAAAGCCCCCAAAAGCUAAAAUAAAUAAAUAAUCAGAACACAGGGUUUUAAUGUGGGGAGGGGAUCUUUAUUGACAAAAAAUGUCUGAUAUGUAGCAUGACUAACAGUAUUUGUAGAACCCUGCUCUAACCUAGAAAGAAAACAUUUCCAGCAAAGACAAAGAAUAUCUCAUACUAGGAGUAAUGAUGACCCUGCUAAUUCAGAAGUUUCUGUGUGCAACUAAGCUAUACCCUGUAAUACACUUAAUGUGAACAGAUAGCUGUGACAAUACAAAUAGAUAAAACCAGGCUUUAACAAGAGCUAAUUCUUAUUCUUGUUUUUGAAUAAGAAUUGGCUCUUGUUAAAGCCUGGUUUCUUUAAGUGUAGUGGCAGUAGAUGCAAAUUAUGCUCAUUUGCCAUGUUUGGCCUUGAAUUUACCUCUCCAUCAACAGGAAAGACAUAUCAGAUUAGGCAAUAUUCUACAUGCAAUUCUUCUUUUGUAAUAUAUCUCUUGACCUGCAGGGGGUAUAAUAAACAGUAUGUAGGGCUCACUACCCACCUCCUGAAAGAUCGCUUUUUGGAGCAUCUUAGGUCAAUUGAUAACCUGGAGUCCACCACUCCCAUAUUGCUACAUUUUAAAAAAGAACACAACUCAGAUUUUUCCCUCUUGACAUUCCAGUGUAUCCAGUUUAUCCCUAGACACCCCAGAGGUGGUAAUAGAGAAAAAAAAAAUCAGAAAGGGAGAAGUCUUUUGGAUUUUUCAAUUGGACACUAGAGUGCCGAGAGGUUUAAACUCUAAGUGGGAUGUUAAGUUGUUUACAAAAUAAAUUUGAUAUGCUGUGUUUAUCUUUAAAAUCUACAAUUUAAUAUUACAGCCUUUUCAGUUCUGAGUAAAUAAUGUUGAAGAAAAUUGUAUCCUCUGUUUACAUUUGCCAUAAAUGUUUUAUUUCACUGUACUAUGUAUUAAUAUUGUAAUUUCUCUUCUUGUUUUUUUCUUUUAUAUGUCACUUUAGUGCACUUUUUUGCUGAUCUAUUGUACCCUAUGAAUAUGUGUAAUAUGGCAAUUAGUGACUUAAAGGGAGAGUAAUACAGGUGUAUAUUUUAGUGAAAACUAGCCAUUUAGCAACCAUUGGUCAUUGAGAAAGUUCAGUAUUUUCUACAUACGAAUCAUGUUUGACCACUUCUGUAAAGUGCACUCUCCUUUAUGGAUGCCGAUGUUUUGGAGCUGAUAUGGAGCUAUUAUGCUGAAUAAAGUGCUUUUUUGCUUUUACCACUGAGAGUCUGGAGUUAGUCCUGUGAUACAUCUGGAGACCAGGUGCCUCUUCCUGCUUGUUGUUUCGUCUACCUAGACUGUUACCUAAUCAAGUGUGUAUUGUUAUAAGCCUUAACUUUGUAAUUUUUUUGUAUUUUUGAUGGUAUUUUCUGAAUUUGUUUAUCUCAAUAAAAAUGAAUAAAAUCCCCGAUAA